GAUGGAGACAGGCAUGAGGAUGAAAUAAAGUUGGAGAAUUAUGGAAGCUUUUUUAAGGAACAAAUUAGAAAGGAUCCUGGAGAAAGCUUUAGAGACCAAAUGGAGAGGAAAAUCAGAAUCAUUAGACCUACUAAAAGAACGGAGAUAUAGGGGGAACAACAUCGGGAGAAAAGCUACAAGGGAAUUGAAGAGGAAGAAAGGAGAGUCAAGUGAAACAUUUGACAAGUUCUAUCAAGGCUUGAAGUUAUAGACGGGUGAAGCUCCAGCUAAGGCUGUGGGACUGUGCUGGUUUACAUCUGCAAAUACAGUCCUCAGAAAUGUAAUGUAUUCUGACUUAAUUAAAUCUGCGCUGACAUUAAAGCUUGGUGUUGAACAGUUGCCUUUAAAAUGCCUCCUACAUUAGUGAAAUAAAUC
rnacentral:lncRNA from 1 species